CCUACGGUGGGCAGCAGUGAGGAAUAUUGGUCAAUGGACGAGAGUCUGAACCAGCCAAGUAGCGUGAAGGAUGACUGCCCUAUGGGUUGUAAACUUCUUUUAUAUGGGAAUAAAAUGUUCCACGUGUGGGAUUUUGUAUGUACCAUAUGAAUAAGGAUCGGCUAACUCCGUGCCAGCAGCCGCGGUAAUACGGAGGAUCCGCGCGUUAUCCGGAUUUAUUGGGUUUAAUGGGAGCGUAGGUGGAUUGUUAAGUCAGUUGUGAAAGUUUGCGGCUCAACCGUAAAAUUGCAGUUGAAACUGGCAGUCUUGAGUACAGUAGAGGUGGGCGGAAGUCGUGGUGUAGCGGUGAAAUGCAUAGAUAUCACGAGGAACCCCGAUUGCGAAGGCAGCCUGCCGGGGUGCGACUGACGCUGAGGCUCGAAGGUGCGGGUAUCAAACAGGAUUAGAUACCCGAGUAGUC
rnacentral:rRNA from 1 species